rnacentral:lncRNA from 1 species
GACUUGCACUUGUGAGGCAGGCAGCGGAACCACUGAGCUACGUCCCUGGACCCCACAGUCAUUUCUAAGGCUGAAACACAGCCUCUGAAUUCACCGUACCUAGGCCCUACGCAAGGUCAUUAGGCAAUAAGGGGCUAUUUCCUGGCCACCUAUGAAACAAACUGUCAGUGUUUGCGAAUGUGUAAGAGUCCUUUCUGCUCGAUGCUUUACCACUGCCGAAAUGCAACUGUGAAACAUUAAACAUCAGCAGGUGCUUACUCCACACUUCUGGAAAUUAAGAUUUUUCUUCACUCCAAAGGUGAGUAAGAGAAGUUCCUACAACUCAAACC